UACGUAGGGUGAGAGCGUUGUCCGGAAUUACUGGGCGUACAGAGCUCGUAGGUGGUUUGUCGCGUUGUUCGUGAAAACUCACAGCUCAACUGUGGGCGUGCGGGCGAUACGGGCAGACUGGAGUACUGCAGGGGAGACUGGAAUUCCUGGUGUAGCGGUGGAAUGCGCAGAUAUCAGGAGGAACACCGGUGGCGAAGGCGGGUCUCUGGGCAGUAACUGACGCUGAGGAGCGAAAGCGUGGGGAGCGAACAGG
rnacentral:rRNA from 1 species